rnacentral:tRNA from 1 species
GCAGGUGUAACUCAGGGGAAUAGUACUUGCUUGGCAUGCAGGAGGCCCUGAGUUUGAUUCUCAGCACUAUCC